rnacentral:rRNA from 1 species
GGUUAAGCGACUAAGCGUACACGGUGGAUGCCCUGGCAGUCAGAGGCGAUGAAGGACGUGCUAAUCUGCGAUAAGCGUCGGUAAGGUGAUAUGAACCGUUAUAACCGGCGAUUUCCGAAUGGGGAAACCCAGUGUGAUUCGUCACACUAUCAUUAACUGAAUCCAUAGGUUAAUGAGGCGAACCGGGGGAACUGAAACAUCUAAGUACCCCGAGGAAAAGAAAUCAACCGAGAUUCCCCCAGUAGCGGCGAGCGAACGGGGAGCAGCCCAGAGCCUGAAUCAGUGUGUGUGUUAGUGGAAGCGUCUGGAAAGGCGCGCGAUACAGGGUGACAGCCCCGUACACAAAAAUGCACAUGCUGUGAGCUCGAUGAGUAGGGCGGGACACGUGGUAUCCUGUCUGAAUAUGGGGGACCAUCCUCCAAGGCUAAAUACUCCUGACUGACCGAUAGUGAACCAGUACCGUGAGGGAAAGGCGAAAAGAACCCCGGCGAGGGGAGUGAAAAAGAACCUGAAACCGUGUACGUACAAGCAGUGGGAGCACAGAGCAAUCUGUGUGACUGCGUACCUUUUGUAUAAUGGGUCAGCGACUUAUAUUCUGUAGCAAGGUUAACCGAAUAGGGGAGCCGAAGGGAAACCGAGUCUUAACUGGGCGUUAAGUUGCAGGGUAUAGACCCGAAACCCGGUGAUCUAGCCAUGGGCAGGUUGAAGGUUGGGUAACACUAACUGGAGGACCGAACCGACUAAUGUUGAAAAAUUAGCGGAUGACUUGUGGCUGGGGGUGAAAGGCCAAUCAAACCGGGAGAUAGCUGGUUCUCCCCGAAAGCUAUUUAGGUAGCGCCUCGUGAAUUCAUCUCCGGGGGUAGAGCACUGUUUCGGCAAGGGGGUCAUCCCGACUUACCAACCCGAUGCAAACUGCGAAUACCGGAGAAUGUUAUCACGGGAGACACACGGCGGGUGCUAACGUCCGUCGUGAAGAGGGAAACAACCCAGACCGCCAGCUAAGGUCCCAAAGUCAUGGUUAAGUGGGAAACGAUGUGGGAAGGCCCAGACAGCCAGGAUGUUGGCUUAGAAGCAGCCAUCAUUUAAAGAAAGCGUAAUAGCUCACUGGUCGAGUCGGCCUGCGCGGAAGAUGUAACGGGGCUAAACCAUGCACCGAAGCUGCGGCAGCGACGCUGAUGCGUUGUUGGGUAGGGGAGCGUUCUGUAAGCCUGCGAAGGUGUGCUGUGAGGCAUGCUGGAGGUAUCAGAAGUGCGAAUGCUGACAUAAGUAACGAUAAAGCGGGUGAAAAGCCCGCUCGCCGGAAGACCAAGGGUUCCUGUCCAACGUUAAUCGGGGCAGGGUGAGUCGACCCCUAAGGCGAGGCCGAAAGGCGUAGUCGAUGGGAAACAGGUUAAUAUUCCUGUACUUGGUGUUACUGCGAAGGGGGACGGAGAAGGCUAUGUUGGCCGGGCGACGGUUGUCCCGGUUUAAGCGUGUAGGCUGGUUUUCCAGGCAAAUCCGGAAAAUCAAGGCUGAGGCGUGAUGACGAGGCACUACGGUGCUGAAGCAACAAAUGCCCUGCUUCCAGGAAAAGCCUCUAAGCAUCAGGUAACAUCAAAUCGUACCCCAAACCGACACAGGUGGUCAGGUAGAGAAUACCAAGGCGCUUGAGAGAACUCGGGUGAAGGAACUAGGCAAAAUGGUGCCGUAACUUCGGGAGAAGGCACGCUGAUAUGUAGGUGAAGUCCCUCGCGGAUGGAGCUGAAAUCAGUCGAAGAUACCAGCUGGCUGCAACUGUUUAUUAAAAACACAGCACUGUGCAAACACGAAAGUGGACGUAUACGGUGUGACGCCUGCCCGGUGCCGGAAGGUUAAUUGAUGGGGUCAGCGCAAGCGAAGCUCUUGAUCGAAGCCCCGGUAAACGGCGGCCGUAACUAUAACGGUCCUAAGGUAGCGAAAUUCCUUGUCGGGUAAGUUCCGACCUGCACGAAUGGCGUAAUGAUGGCCAGGCUGUCUCCACCCGAGACUCAGUGAAAUUGAACUCGCUGUGAAGAUGCAGUGUACCCGCGGCAAGACGGAAAGACCCCGUGAACCUUUACUAUAGCUUGACACUGAACAUUGAGCCUUGAUGUGUAGGAUAGGUGGGAGGCUUUGAAGUGUGGACGCCAGUCUGCAUGGAGCCGGCCUUGAAAUACCACCCUUUAAUGUUUGAUGUUCUAACGUUGACCCGUGAUCCGGGUUGCGGACAGUGUCUGGUGGGUAGUUUGACUGGGGCGGUCUCCUCCUAAAGAGUAACGGAGGAGCACGAAGGUUGGCUAAUCCUGGUCGGACAUCAGGAGGUUAGUGCAAUGGCAUAAGCCAGCUUGACUGCGAGCGUGACGGCGCGAGCAGGUGCGAAAGCAGGUCAUAGUGAUCCGGUGGUUCUGAAUGGAAGGGCCAUCGCUCAACGGAUAAAAGGUACUCCGGGGAUAACAGGCUGAUACCGCCCAAGAGUUCAUAUCGACGGCGGUGUUUGGCACCUCGAUGUCGGCUCAUCACAUCCUGGGGCUGAAGUAGGUCCCAAGGGUAUGGCUGUUCGCCAUUUAAAGUGGUACGCGAGCUGGGUUUAGAACGUCGUGAGACAGUUCGGUCCCUAUCUGCCGUGGGCGCUGGAGAACUGAGGGGGGCUGCUCCUAGUACGAGAGGACCGGAGUGGACGCAUCACUGGUGUUCGGGUUGUCAUGCCAAUGGCACUGCCCGGUAGCUAAAUGCGGAAGAGAUAAGUGCUGAAAGCAUCUAAGCACGAAACUUGCCCCGAGAUGAGUUCUCCCUGACUCCUUGAGAGUCCUGAAGGAACGUUGAAGACGACGACGUUGAUAGGCCGGGUGUGUAAGCGCAGCGAUGCGUUGAGCUAACCGGUACUAAUGAACCGUGAGGCUUAACCUU